rnacentral:rRNA from 1 species
GACGAACGCUGGCGGCGUGCUUAACACAUGCAAGUCGAACGGAAAGGCCCUGCUUUUGUGGGGUGCUCGAGUGGCGAACGGGUGAGUAACACGUGAGUAUCCUGCCCUUGACUUUGGGAUAACUUCAGGAAACUGGGGCUAAUACCGGAUAGGAGCUCCUGCUGCAUGGUGGGGGUUGGAAAGUUUCGGCGGUUGGGGAUGGACUCGCGGCUUAUCAGCUUGUUGGUGGGGUAGUGGCUUACCAAGGCUUUGACGGGUAGCCGGCCUGAGAGGGUGACCGGCCACAUUGGGACUGCGAUACGGACCAGACUCCUACGGGAGGCAGCAGUGGGGAAUAUUGCACAGUGGGCGGAAGCCUGAUGUAGAAACGCCGCGUGCGGGAUGACGGCCUUCGGGUUGUAAACCGCUUUCGCCUGUGACGAAGCGUGAGUGACGGUAAUGGGUAAAGAAGCAACGGCUAACUACGUG